rnacentral:tRNA from 1 species
GCGCUCUUAGCUCAGUUGGAUAGAGCAACAGCCUUCUAAGCUGUAGGUCACAGGUUCAAGUCCUGUAGGGCGUAUAC